AAGGAGAUGCUGUAAGGAUCCCCCCCGGGGCAGGAGAUGCAGGGACGGGCAUCCCGUACAAGCCAAGAGGGCUAGAGGGGUUAAUUUUUUGCUACUUCCUUGCCACCACCAGUACCCCUUUAAAAAAAUAAAAUCACUCGAAGACUUUGGAAAGUUUCUCUUCUUCUGGUUGCUUGAGAAGUGCCUGCUAUUGCCUGAGGGCCUGAUUCCAGCCUCACCUCCCUGCGUCUAGACCAGCAGAGCCAAGGUCAGAGCUGCGUUUGUCAUAUACCAGCAGAGCCAACACCAAGGUGUGACGACGGAUCUACUUAAGCAACUUCUGCAGCUAUCGCAUUGAUCCCAAUAAGAUCUGGACUGUACGGACUUGCCCAAUGUGUCGGAGUGGAUUUGUGGCAGAGAUGAAAAGAAAAUCCAUAAGUGCUGUGCACUUCCUGCUGUUCUCCUCCUUACACAACACUUUGUUACAUAAAGCCUAUUUUUCUGGAAAAAAAAAAAGGGGGGGGGGAGGAGAAAGAUGGAAAAAAUAACAUCGUUUUGAUUGUAAGCCAGUUUUCUGUAUCAAGAUGGCAGCAGCGCGUGAAGCAAAGCAAGGUCUCCUUAAAACCAUGUGACAAGGCUAAUCAAAAUAAACAUCCAAAAAAUAAAGAAAUUAAGGGCGAGGUAGCAGACUGUGGGGAGAGCAGAUGGUUAUUUAAAAUAACGGCAAAAUUCGGCAUGCCGAGUGCAACUAUAGCUCUUGUCACAAAAUAUAGCUGUUAAUGGCAAAGGAGAAGGGAGAAACAUCAUCAGGGUGUUUUGUGGAGCUGGCGAAAGCAGGAAGAUGAAAAAUAUAUGGAGAAAAGGGUAUCUUCAGUCCUCUGCAAAAUCUACCCCAAAUAUCAAUGGCAGAGGCAGAGGAGACAGAAAUGCAGUAGCUGGAAAGAACAUCGCAUCGAUCGAAUUUGUCAUACAACACAAAAGGUCACAAGCCCAGGGAUCAGACACUGAGCUAAAGGAGAAACUUGUCCCCCCAAGAACAGAAAAAACACAGAAUCUGUAGUUUACAGAAGCUUGAAACCCAGAAAAGAAGCUCCAGUCCCUGAGAAAGGAGCUGGGAAACCAGGACUGCUCAGCUCAGCUAUGAUUCAGCUCCAGCCACUAGCACAGGUCCCAAUGCUGUGCACAAAUUCAAGACUUGAACUUGAGCUAGAAGUCAUGCAUUUAGUCAUGGGUUUUGUAAUCCUACCAUUCUACCUGGAUUUUACUGCAAUAACAGGUUAGGGUUAUUUUAUCUCAUCCUGAGCUCUGAACAGCACGGGGCACAAUCCUACCUGCCAUCCCAAGUACUCCCACCUGCCGCUCCAGCCCUGCAGCUCAGGCAUUACCCUGAGUUACGGUGCCAAUGUAGAUCGCCCCUUGCUUUUGCCAGGAUACAUAGCCAAGAGAGAGGCAGAUUAUUGCUAGGCUGCAAAUCACAUUGAAUAAUGAAAUAAAAGCCAAAGCUGGGCCCAUUUGCAGACAGACAGGGGCAGGAGCCAGUUCACAAACAUCCUUUGCAGCCCCCAGCUUUGUAUCCAGUGAUCCACUAGCUAUUAGUCUCUGAUUAGGAGCAGUACAUUCCCUCAAAGAGGUUAUUUCCAUCUUAGAAGGGCCACCAGUCAGCUGAACAUCCUCAGUUCAUUUUGCAGGUACCAUUCCCUGUGCUGUCUCCCUCAAAAUUACACUUGAAAUAUGCCUGGUUUAAAAAAAAUAAAUAAAUAAAUAAAAGAAAAAAAAAAGAAAGAAAAGAACAAACAAUUUCCUCCUGCCACGACUGUUAUGACAAACUGAACCACACGAACAGAAAC